rnacentral:pre_miRNA from 1 species
UUCUCUUGUCCUUCAUUCCACCGGAGUCUGUCUCAUACCCAACCAGAUUUCAGUGGAGUGAAGUUCAGGAGGCG